CUUUAGCGCCCGACCGCCGAAAAACAGUUCACGGCGGCGACGAGGAACAGGGUUAUCGAAUAUUCGGCGGAUGCCCUGACGGCAGUGCGGUUACUGUCGGAAAUUUCUGUUUCAAAAAUCCGUAUGACACUUCAAAAAAAGUUUU
rnacentral:ncRNA from 1 species